UACGUAGGGGGCUAGCGUUGUCCGGAAUCAUUGGGCGUAAAGCGCGUGUAGGCGGUCCGGUAAGUCCGCUGUGAAAGUCGAGGGCUCAACCCUCGAAUGCCGGUGGAUACUGUCGGGCUUGAGUACGGGAGAGGCGAGUGGAAUUCCUGGUGUAGCGGUGAAAUGCGCAGAUAUCAGGAGGAACACCGAUUGCGAAGGCAGCUCGCUGGAACGGUACUGACGCUGAGGCGCGAAAGCGUGGGGAGCAAACAGG
rnacentral:rRNA from 1 species